rnacentral:antisense_RNA from 2 species
CUUGACGGAGCCGAGCAGCAGCGGCCGGUCGGCGGGCCUGCCCUGGCCGUAGGUGGCCAGGAGGGCCUGGGCCUC